UACGUAGGGUGCAAGCGUUAUCCGGAAUUAUUGGGCGUAAAGCGCACGUAGGCGGCUUUGUAAGUUAGAGGUGAAAGCCCGGGGCUCAACUCCGGAACUGCCUUUAAGACUGCAUCGCUUGAAUCCGGGAGAGGUGAGUGGAAUUCCGAGUGUAGAGGUGAAAUUCGUAGAUAUGCGGAGGAACACCAGUGGCGAAGGCGGCCACCUGGACCGUCCCUGACGCUCAAACACGAAAGCUAGGGUAGCGAACGGG
rnacentral:rRNA from 1 species